rnacentral:rRNA from 1 species
CACGCAGGGGACGAGCGUUGUCCGGAUUCAUUGGGCGUAAAGCGCGCGUAGGCGGCUCGGAAAGUCGGUCGUGAAAUGCCGGGGCUCAACCCCGGGACUGCGUCCGAUACUCUCGAGCUGGAGGCAGGUAGGGGAGAUCGGAAUUCCUGGUGUAGCGGUGAAAUGCGCAGAUAUCAGGAGGAACACCGGUGGCGAAGGCGGCCUUCUGGACAGUGACUGACGCUGAGACGCGAAAGCGUGGGGAGCAAACAGG